AACGCACAUUGCGCCCCUUGGUAUUCCGAGGGGCAUGCCUGUUCGAGCGUCAUUACAACCCUCAAGCAAAUUGGCUUGGUAUUGGGCCCCGCUGCUCACCCAGCGGGCCUUAAAAUCAGUGGCGGUGCCAUCGAGGCCCUGAGCGUAGUAAAUAUCCUCGCUAUAGGGACUUGGUGGACGCUGGCCAUCAACCCCCAACUUUCUAAGUUUGACCUCGGAUCAGGUAGGGAUACCCGCUGAACUUAA
rnacentral:misc_RNA from 1 species